ACAAACCUCACCGCGACACCGAAGUUGUGUGACGAGGAGAAGCUUCCAGAGGAAGGCUCAUGGCCGGGGCAGCGGCCGCCACCGCCACCGCCACCGCUCCGCCGGAGACAGCACUCCCAGCGGGGGAUGGCCCCGGAUACGACGACGACGAUGACUACGAGGAGGAGGAGUGCCGCAUAUGCCGCCUCCCCGCCGAGGCGGGCCGCCCUCUGCGCCGCCCCUGCGCCUGCCGCGGCAGCAUCAGGUUCGUCCACGACGACUGCCAGCUCCGGUGGCGCGCCGCCCGCCAAAAAAACCGCUGCGAGGUGUGCAACCGCAACAUCUCCACCCGACCUCUCUAUGCUGCAGAUGCCCCCGUGAGGCUGCAUGUUUCUGAGCUCAUGGCGGGUUUGCCCAGGAAGCUCAUGGGUCUGCUGCUCCCCCUCUUCUUCGCCGUCUGUGUUGUUUGGGAGUUUGUCAUUCCGCUCACCACCCUCUGGACAUGGCGUCUCGCGCUCGCCACGACCUUUGCUCAAGUGCACUAUCUACUCUCCCUACGCCUAUCCGUGACCUGCAUCCCUGCUUCAAUUGCGCUCUGGGCUACAUUUCUACGCUGGGUUGCACCAUUUGCUGUAGCUCCAUAUGUGCGCUGGAUUGAACGCCUGGUUACUUGGAGUGAGAGACAGGAGUUUCAGUCAUUUGAUGCUUUCCAAGUCCUUGCGAUAUUGACUGUUGAAGUUUCCUUGGCGGUGGUAAUAGUUGACAUGGCCCUUGCUUGUAUAUUUUGUUUUGUCCCAUUUUCAUUGGGAAGGAUAACUCUAUGGUCAUCAUGUCUCAAUUUUGACAAUGUGGAUGAAGUCAAUUGUUACACUUCAACAGCCUCUACCCUUCUAAUUGGAUUCGGACUUAUCUUUACAGUGGGUGCAAGUUUUGCUGUGGUGCAUACUUUUCAUCUGUACUUGAGGGGCAAGCGCCUUGUGACCACAAUUUUCUAUAGAAGAUUGUAUGGCAUAUUCUUCAGAGGGAUCAUAAAGUUAACCCGAGUUGCCAAUAUUUCUCUUAAUAUCCUAUACAACGGGAUAAUAUACCCAUUGUUCUUCGGCUGUUCGCUUGAUAUCUGCACUUCAAAAAUGUUUGGUGCAACGAUGACCCAGAGGUUCAAUUUUCUGAUUGCUUCAUCUUUGGCUUCUGCUGCCUUACAUUGGCUUAUUGGACGCUCCUUUUUGAAACUACGCCCCAGAUUAUUCAAACUUCUUCACAAGAUAUUCGGGCCAGGAGUUUUCACUCCCUUUCUCAGCUAUAACUUUUCCGAACCAUUCUACAAAUUUUAUUUGAAGAAUUUUCUUGGUCUUUUUGUGGACAUUAUGUUUGUUGCUCUGGUCAUUCUUGUCCCUAUCAAAAUUGCUGACCUUUUGGCACCAGAGGUGUUCCCACUAGAUAUCACCUACUUCGAUCAUCCUGCUAAGGGCACAUCAGUUUGGCAAGGGCUACUACUAAACUUUGCAGAGUUAUUUUCUGCUGUUCAUCAUAUGACGUAUCUCAUUGGAAAAACAGUCAUCUACCUUGGGCAUGUAAUGGAGAGGGUAGUGGGGUAUUGGUCUAUCACUGCUGGUCAGGCUCUUGGGGACAAUGUUCCAUCAAAAGACCAGUAUGAUACCUGCGAUGAUGCUAAGGAUGAAUGCAGGAGAUAUGCUGCUGUUCAAACGAUUCUACGCGUGGUCCUAGCAUGGUUGACUGCUGUGAUAUUCUAUUCUGGUAUGCUUUUGUUUCCAGUCUCAGUAGGUCGUGCAUUGCUGAUUGCCAUCCCUCAGCUGCCAGUAGCAGGUGGAUUGAAGUCCAAUGACCUGUUUGCUGUUGCUGUUGGAUUUUGCAUCAUAUCAACUAUCAUUGCCGCCCUUAGAGAUUUAUCUGCCUGCAUGACUUCUGGGAGAACAUGCCUUCUAGCUUUGAAGAGGGAUCUGCUUUUCUUCAUAUGGAUGGUCAUCAUUCCUCUCUUGAUUGGUUUGCUGGCUGAUUUAUUACUGAUAUCACCCUUCGUUGGGACUGAUUUUCCAGCUCUAAACUUUUUCCGCACUUGGCUCCUGGGCCGGUUCUUUAAGCUCUUAUGGAUUAACCACGUCGAUGAAAGUUGGGAGGCGAAGUUUAAGCGGGCAAAUGAAGAUUGUUCUGGAGAGCUCAGAGCAAUGUGGUGGUUCUUUCAAGAUGUGUGCAUUCCUGUCGCCAUGAAGCUACUCGUUGCUCUGGCUGUUCCUUAUGUUCUUGCCAAGGGCGUCUUCCCAAGAUUGGGCUACUCUGCCUCCCUGAACUCGACAGUCUACCGUUUCUCAUGGUUGGGCAGCCUUGGCAUUUGCGCCUUCUACUGUCUUGGCAAGGUGUUAUGCGUGCAACUCCAUGAUUCUAUCAGGGACGACCGCUAUGCCAUUGGGCGGACGUUGGAAGACGUUGGAGACGGGAGCUGAAUACUCUUUUCUGAGGGCUUUUUUGUAGCAGCUAGUUCACCUCAGACAGGGAUAGGAUGAGUAAUAUCAACAAAUCCUUGUGCAGACGGGAAGGAAUAUACGGGUCACAUUACUGAUAGGAUGGAUGCAAAUGAGAUGGUUCCAAACAGAUAAAUUUCCAGCGGAACUUGGUACAUAUGGGAAUGGUUUUCCGUGUGGAGGGCAUUUGCUGAAUUCAGCAUUUGUGAACAUGUAAACUUGACAAGAUACUCCAUACCUGUUUGUACAUCACAGCUGACUGAGUUCAGAGCGAAGUGAAGCUGGAGCGAGACCAGACAACCCUGUCCAUUUGCUACAGAAGUACCGCGGUUAUAUCGGGCUGGGACAUUGCUGCUAACACUUGUGGCGGAGUUCCUAUUUUUGAAUUAAAAACUUAUCCAUUUGAACUCCCAGCCGUCCUGCUGGAGUGAUGCGCAUUAUCCUUAUCAUGUGAGGACUUGUACAAUGUACUCCCUCCGUUUCUAAAUAUAAGUCUUUUAAGCGAUUUCACUA